UGAUACCAGGGUCAAAAGGUCUGAAACCACCGGUGCUUGCACAAAGGUGGUGUAAUGGCCUUGGGACCCGCCCCAAUAUGAGCAUAAAAGUGGAGCGUAAGCUUCACGAUAUGCGAAUAGUGGGUAGGAUUGCGAGAGCAUGAAAGGCGAAGCAAUCCGUGUAUUA
rnacentral:sRNA from 1 species